rnacentral:rRNA from 1 species
AUGUCCGUUUCGGAGUUCGCAAUGAGGUCAAGAUGGUGCCCAAGAUGCUUUCCUAACGCGGAGAGACUACAUAUUUUGAGUGAGAAAUGUGAUAAACCCGCUGGUAACCACCUGAGCCUCAAGUUCUGGGAAGAGUCCGGUCCCAUUGAGAAUGUUCUCUCGCGCAUCAACAUGAUGAGUAUCCGUGAGUUCAGAGGGGACCCAGGUGAGGUUGGCUUCCUGGAGUUCUUCUUCCGGAACGCGCGGGCGCUGAAGACCGCAUCUGUUUCCAUGGCCAAUCCAAGCUUCACACCGUUCUCGGCGGAGGAGGCGCACGCCAAAGUGAAAUACAGCUACAGGAACAAGGCGAGUAAAUCCUGCCAAACGGUUGUCCGUGGGAGUACCGGCCCUUCAGGAGGUGAAGUUUGGAGGUUCAAAGAUGGGGCAGAUUUUUCUUUCCAUGACCCCUUUUCCCAAUUGUUGGUCAGGUGA